GAUGAACGCUAGCGGCAGGCUUAACACAUGCAAGUCGAGGGGUAGAGGAAGCUUGCUUCCUUGAGACCGGCGCACGGGUGCGUAACGCGUAUGCAACCUACCUUUUACAGAGGGAUAGCCCAGAGAAAUUUGGAUUAAUACCUCAUAGUAUAUAGUCUUCGCAUGUUGACUAUAUUAAAGUUCCAACGGUAAAAGAUGGGCAUGCGUCCUAUUAGCUAGAUGGUAAGGUAACGGCUUACCAUGGCAACGAUAGGUAGGGGUCCUGAGAGGGAGAUCCCCACACUGGUACUGAGACACGGACCAGACUCCUACGGGAGGCAGCAGUGAGGAAUAUUGGACAAUGGGCGCAAGCCUGAUCCAGCCAUGCCGCGUGCAGGAAGAAGCAUCUAUGGUGUGUAAACUGCUUUUGUACAGGAAGAAACACCCCGACGUGUCGGGACUUGACGGUACUGUAAGAAUAAGGAUCGGCUAACUCCGUGCCAGCAGCCGCCGUAAAAC
rnacentral:rRNA from 1 species